UUCCAGACUCCUACGGGAGGCAGCAGUGGGGGAUAUUGCACAAUGGGGGAAACCCUGAUGCAGCGACGCCGCGUGUGGGAAGACGGUCCUCUGGAUUGUAAACCACUGUCCCCAGGGACGAAAAUGACGGUACCUGGGGAGGAAGCUCCGGCUAACUACGUGCCAGCAGCCGCGGUAAUACGUAGGGAGCGAGCGUUGUCCGGAAUUACUGGGUGUAAAGGGAGCGUAGGCGGGGAUGCAAGUUGGGUGUCAAAACUACCGGCUCAACUGGUAGUCGCACUCAAAACUGCAGCUCUUGAGUGAAGUAGAGGCAGGCGGAAUUCCUAGUGUAGCGGUGAAAUGCGUAGAUAUCAGGAGGAACACCGGCGGCGAAGGCGGCCUGCUGGACCGCGACUGACGUUGAGGCUCGAAAGCGUGGGGAGCGAACAGGAUUAGAUACCCCCGUAU
rnacentral:rRNA from 1 species